GCCCCACACUCAGCCGUGCCCUAGCAGCGGGAACAGUACUGCAGUAAACCAUUAGUACUCUGGAGUAUUGCUUCUGCUGCCUGAGUAAGUCUGAGACUCCCGCAUGGCC
rnacentral:miRNA from 1 species